AUUGUUUGCUACUCAGCCACGAAGAGAUAAGAAGCCUGUGUCAGAAUGCAUGUGAACACGCUGCUUGCUUCCUAGAAGCCUUGCUUUGAAAAAGAAGGUCUGCCCAUCCACAUCAUUUUGGCUGAAUGCGUGACCUAUCCAAUCCUUCCUCUCAUGGAAACACCAACUCAUCCAUGCCCUCUGUGCUGAAACUUCGUCUCAGCCUGCUGGAAUCACCUGCACCCCAUGGGAACUGUAGCCAUAUCUUCAGUCCUGUGAGCCCCCGUCAUGGCCUGUCACAGGAGUAAAUGAGGAGUAAGGCCCAGAAUACUCAGUACCUCUCAAUGACCCUCAGACGCUGUAGGAAGAGGAUUGGUUCACCUUUUAACCCAGAAUUUCUCACAUUGAAUGGACAGGAUGCAUUCCAAGAGGCCAGAGUAUGUGCAUCUCAGCUCCUGAUGGUUUCCACCACCACCAUUACUUUCUCUAUGUCAAGAUACCUGGGAAGCCGGUGUUUCAUUUGCAUUCUUGGAGCCCAGGAACUGUCUUCUACAAACUUUUCUUCCUAGUACCAUGUAAACGUACACAGGAAACGUUCAGAAAACAUCAGCCAAAUAGAAGAAUAAGGAAAUUCCUUCACUGACUAGAUAUUGGUGUUUGAUUCUGUCCUGCUUUGUACUCAAUGGCUAUUUCGGGGUUUCCAUUGCGGAAAACUAUUUGGAAAAUUGCAAGCCACGAGACAAGCCUCUAAGCUACUCCAGGAUCAUUGAGGACUCUCCAUGGGUUCUUAUUGUUAAAGAUCUUAACUCCUCAAGCCACUGCAUUUUUACUAUAUGCCUUGAACUACAAGAUGUGUUAAGAUUUAUAGGAUAAGGUUCUCAUCUCUAAAAACUCAUGGUCUCGAUGGAGAAGCAGUAUUUACACACAUGGAGAAGUUGAGAGUACUUGAAUGUGGAGUAUAAAGUGUGCGAUAUUGACAAGAAGCUCUACGAAAGUUCAGGAAGAGGAGGAGCAAGUGAGGAUGGAGAUGGACUUUGCAGAAUGGAGGAGAGGCAAAGAAACGGUUAGAAACAAUCUACAUAAUGAAAAGUCACUUUUGGGAGUUGUUUUAAGGCAGAGUAUCAUAUCGCAUCAAAACCGCUCCAUAAGUCCUGCCACUCCACGUGCAAUGCCAUGAACUUGAAGAAACUGCUGGUUAGAAGAAUCUUGGUCGUCCAGAAAGCUUGCUAUAGCUGCCCAGCAUUUGCCUCCUCCACAAAGAAGGACCAAAAGAACAAGUAGACAAUCACAUGCCAAAUAAAAUGUCUAAAGGAGAGCACUGAAGCUCAGCAAAAACGUUACAAAGACCCUCUGAGGUGCAGAAACUCGGGAUGGCAGCACAAAGAGGAAAGCAAAGCAGCCGGUCAGGAUCAGCUCACAGUCAAGGGCGCCCCGCCUUGAGUAGGAAAUGUAAGCAGGAGAUGCCCUGCAGGCAACAUUCCCACCACAAAUGCCUGCAAGCCUAGCUGUAGGAGAGCCUCGCAGUGUUGAGCCCAGUGCGGGAGCUGCCUGGAGUCUCUGUGACUACAUUACUCCAGAGAGGCCACUGGGUCCCUCCUUAGUCCCUGGGACCCAAGCCGCUGCAGCACAGUAUCAUUUUGAGGACAGAGCCACUGCCAGAAUGCUUCCUGUCCUGGGGCCCGGUAACCCCUGCAUGUCCUCAUCACUGGAGCCCCAAUAUCAUUCCACAGUUGUAUGAGGAGUAAAAAUAACUAUAAAUAAAGAUAACUCAAGAAUUCUAUAAGCAAGCAUACACAUGAAAUUCAUUUUAUAAGAGGAAAGCUAACUCCAUCUCUCUUGAAAUAUGGAAUAGGUUCUUGAAGCAAUUCUAAAUGCUGAUCUGCUGGAAUGAUGGCUUCAUUGCACAAGAAUUCUGCUUAGUUCAUUGAAGUCUCCUUGAAGAAGUCAGUCUGAGAAUGGGGGAAUUCCGUUGUUGGUCAGAAGAAUUCUUUGGUCACUAUUGGAAGUGGGUUCAGUUUAGGGUGACUAUUGAUCAACAGGGUUCAUGGGUUUGCUAAAACUCAUUUCAGGCAAGCUUUGGAAGUGCAGUUCGCUUGGUGCUUAUGGGGUUAAAAACAGGAGGAAGAGAAUUUCACAUUAUUGGAGGGCCUGAAAGGAAACUGAUUCCCGCAAGAUGCUCAGACAAGAUCAAACCCAGCCCCUUUUCUGGUUUGGAAUUUCUCUGGGCUAUAAAGGUAGAAGAAAAGGCCCUGCAUGGGCCCACUCUAAGUGCUUGGAGGUUUUAGAUAAUUUUAUUAAAUUGUAGAAUCUUAAACAGAACUACAAGGUUGCUUUUAAAACCAGAUCUCAGAUUUCUUUGAGCUAACAAAUGGUAAAAUGUAUCUUUAGUAUUAGAGUGAGAUAAAGGUAGUUAUAACUUUUUUUUUUACUUAUUUUAUGUUAACGUAUGCAACAAAGGGUACAAAUUGUAGGUACGCAGCUCAUUGAACUUUUAUGUCUGCACAUGCCUAUGAAACCAACACCCAGAGUAAGAUGCGGAUAAUUUUCUGCUCCCCUGAAAAUUCCCUUGUGCCUUUUCCUCAUCAGUACCUCCAAAGGUAACCACUAUUUUGAUUUCCAUUACCAUAGAUGAGUUAUACUUGUUUUUGAAAAGAUUAUUUGAAAUGUGUAAUAUAAAUAAUAGCGGUUGCUUAUCUUACAGAAAUAUCACUGAGAAUUCAUUUCUUCUCUCCUUCAUUUAUUCAUUUGUUCAAAACACUGUCUAGUACCAACAUUGUCCACCGGGCGUUGAGAAUACAAUAUUGAAGAAGAGUCACUGCCUGCCCUCUGGAAAAAUCAGAGUAUUUGAAAGAAUACACACAAGUAAACAGGCAGCUAUGGCAAAGUGGGUAAAAGCUGCAAAACAGGGAAGUUUCGCCAAGUGUCAGAUGCCAAGAAGUGUCAGAUGCCAAGAAGAAAGGGUGCAUGACAUAGACUUGGGGGGGUCAGUAGUGGUUUCUGGAACGAGUGACAUUUAGACUGAAACUGGAAGGAUAUGAGUAAGGGCUAAUCGGACCAAGAUGAAGAGAUACAGAAGCAGAAGGAACAGUAGGAACAAAUGCUCAGAGGCAAAAGAAAGCUUUGAAUAUUUGAGGAACUGAAAAGCAAAACAACAAAAAAUAGCCAUCCCUUGACUAGACAAGUGACCUGGGGUCAGAUCCUGAAGGGCUUUGCAGAUCACUUUUCCGCUUGUAGACUUUGUACUUGACUUUAAGGGCCAUGGAGAGCCACUGAAGCAUUUUCAGCAAGGGACUGUCAUCAGCAGAUUGGUAUUUGUUUUGAAGUAGCACAUGUAAGAGAAAAUAACAAUAUGGACAAAUAAAGAGUUUGAAAAACAACUUUGCUUUGAUACUUUAGGAUGAAAUAUCUGAGAUAGCAGCGCCCCCCCCCCCAUCAGCCAUUUUUAAUGACACUACUAUUUGAGCACAAGUUGCAAGAAAAUUUGCAACAAAUAGGCUUUUUCUGUAGAACACAAAGCAGGGAUGUUUGAACGAUGCAUUAUUUGAAUUCCAUCUUAGUAGGAAGCCAUCCAUAAUAGGAGGAAGUUGAGGAAUAGGCCUAAUGUUCACAGUGGCACAGGUGGCGUUUGCAUCUGCCUUCAAUGUUCCUAUGAUACGAAUCCUCCACUGCAGAAAAUUCCUCGUGGAAUUUUCUAUUUUAUGUGUUAAACUUUAUCGAAAUCUUUUCCUGAUGUUUAUAUUUCUGUGAUAAUCAUUAUUAAACUGAAAAAUGCGGAA
rnacentral:lncRNA from 1 species